rnacentral:rRNA from 1 species
UAACAAGGAUUCCCCUAGUAACUGCGAGUGAACCGGGAAAAGCUCAAAUUUUGAAUCUGGCGGUCUUUAUGGCCGUCCGAGUUGUAAUCUAGAGAAGCGUCUUCCGCGCUGGACCGUGUAUAAGUUUCCUGGAAUGGAACGUCGUAGAGGGUGAGAAUCCCGUCUUUGACACGGACUGCCAGGGCUAUGUGAUGCGCUCUCGACGAGUCGAGUUGUUUGGGAAUGCAGCUCAAAUAGGGUGGUAAAUUCCAUCUAAAGCUAAAUAUAGGCGAGAGACCGAUAGCGAACAAGUACCGUGAGGGAAAGAUGAAAAGAACUUUGGAAAGAGAGUUAAACAGUACGUGAAAUUGCUGAAAGGGAAACGCUUGAUGUCAGUCGCGUUCGUCGGGGAUCAGCCUUGCUCUUUUGCUCGGCGUACUUCCUGGCGAACGGGUCAGCAUCAGUUUUGUUCGUCGGAAAAUGGCUCGAGAAAUGUGGCACUCUUCGGGGUGUGUUAUAGACUCGGGUCGAAUACGACGUCCGGGACUGAGGAACUCAGCACGACCUUCGGGUUCGGGGCUUAGGCCCACGUUAACGUGCUUAGGAUGCUGGCAUAAUGGCCUUAAGCGACCCGUCUUGAAACACGGACCAAGGAGUCUAACUCGCAUGCGAGUGUUUGGGCGAUUAAAACCCGAGCGCGUAAUGAAAGUGAAAGUCGAGACCCCUGUCGUGGGGGGCAUCGACGCCCGGACCAGAGCUUCUGCGACGGAUCUGCGGUAGAGCAUGCGUGUUGGGACCCGAAAGAUGGUGAACUAUGCCUGAAUAGGGUGAAGCCAGAGGAAACUCUGGUGGAGGCUCGUAGCGAUUCUGACGUGCAAAUCGAUCGUCG